AACUGUGGUAAUUCUAGAGCUAAUACAUGCACCAAAGCUCCAAUCUUCCCAGAGCGGAGCGCAUUUGUUCGCCACAAAACCAAGCGCCUUCGGGCGUCCAGUGUUGACUCAGAACAACUAAGCUGAUCGCACGGUCUUGUACCGGCGACGUGUCUUUCAAGUGUCUGCCUUAUCAACUUUCGAUGGUAGUGUACCUGACUACCAUGGUGAUGACGGGUAACGGAGGAUAAGGGUCCGACUCCGGAGAAGGCGGCCUGAGAAAUGGCCACUACGUCUAAGGAUGCCGGCAGCCGCCCAAAUGACGCACUCUCAACAUGAGGAGGUAGUGACGAGAAAUAACGAGACCGAUCUCUUAUGAGGCCGGUCAUCGGAAUGGGUACAAUUUAAACCCUUUAACGAGUAUCUAUGAGAGGGCAAGUCUGGUGCCAGCAGCCGCGGUAAUUCCAGCUCUCAAAACGCAUAGAAUUAUUGCUGCGGUUAAAAAGCUCGUAGUUGGAUCUGUGCUAGCCGGCCGGUCCACCCACUGGGUGUGCACUGGUUCGGUUGGCUUUUCUGCCGUUCUCUCCCCGGCGUUGGCCUUCACUGGUCGGCGUCGGUGGGCUGGCGAGUUUACUUUGAACAAAUCAGAGUGCUUCAAACAGGCGUUUCGCUUGAAUGUUCGUGCAUGGAAUAAUAGAAGAGGAUUUCGGUCCGAUUUUAUUGGUUUUGCUGACC
rnacentral:rRNA from 1 species